UGGGGAAUAUUGCACAAUGGGCGAAAGCCUGAUGCAGCAACGCCGCGUGAGUGAUGAAGGUCUUCGGAUUGUAAAGCUCUGUCUUUUGGGACGAUAAUGACGGUACCAAAGGGGGAAGCCACGGCUAACUACGUGCCAGCAGCCGCGGUAAUACGUAGGUGGCGAGCGUUGUCCGGAUUUACUGGGCGUAAAGGGUGCGUAGGCGGAUGUUUAAGUGAGAUGUGAAGUACCCGGGCUUAACUUGGGUGCUGCAUUUCAAACUGGAUAUCUAGAGUGCAGGAGAGGAGAAUGGAAUUCCUAGUGUAGCGGUGAAAUGCGUAGAGAUUAGGAAGAACACCAGUGGCGAAGGCGAUUCUCUGGACUGUAACUGACGCUGAGGCACGAAAGCGUGGGUAGCAAACAGGAUUAGAUACCCUGGUAGUCCACGCCGUAAACGAUGAGUACUAGGUGUAGGAGGUAUCGACCCCUUCUGUGCCGCAGUAAACACAUUAAGU
rnacentral:rRNA from 1 species